UUAUAUCACAAUGCAAAUACACCAGUAAUCACAAACAACUGCUCUCUUAACUUAAAACAGAAUUUAUUUAACAAGCAGCAUCAACUGCAAUCAAUGAAACUCAAUCAAACAAAUAACUACUAUAAACUAAACUACAGCAAACAAAGUAUUUACAAGCAAACAGUGUGGCACGUGUGUGGUUGUGUAUGUGUGUGAGAAAGAGAGAGAGGGAUAGGAAGAAGACAAGAUGGCGGGGAAGCACCAUGUGGUUACGUCACAUGGGGCAAAAUGGUGGACAACAAAGCCGUGUGGCGUGCGUGUGUCUGUGAGAGAGAGUCAACAAGAUGUUGAGAGAGAGAAAGAGCACCAUGUGGAGCUUCGUCAGUUGUGAAGAGUGAAGAGAAACCGAGCCGCCGGGAAGAGACUGACAAGGUCCCGGACCCCGAUUCAGCCUGCACACACAGGAGUUCGGUUUAUGGUGAGGAUAAACCCAGACAACACCAAAUGCACUUCAAGGGUCCAGGUCAGCCAAAGGAGUGGCAAGACAGUCCAGCUAAAGGCUACAGCCGUGAAUCCCCGAGUUGCAUCCUUUCUCAAGGACUUUUUAGACUUCGACUGGCAUGUAGCAAAUAGUUGUUUGAUGCUGUAAUAAUGUUAAACAUUUCAAAUGUUGCAUCUUUAAUGUUUAAAAAAAAGAAAAUUAGAAAUGUUCCUGUUGUGUUUCUACUUAAAACAAGGAACUCUUGACCUGUCAGCUGUACUUGUUCUAGCAUAGGAUGGGGGAUUGUCUGCAUUUUACAGUUACAUUUGAAAAAAAAAAAUCUGUCUUUUUUUCUUCAUUCAUUAAAACGAACAAAAUACUUGUUGAUACAGUGUAUUUGAAGCUAGAUUAUAUUUUUCAUGAAUUUGUUUUAAUAUAUCCACUUUUUCCUUAUUUACAGCCUGUGGUUGGGGUUGCUAUGACUCUAUAGAAUAGAGUAAGACUUCUCUUUGGUUAGUGUGUAGCUGAUCCUGUGCAAGCCAAUGUCACCUGAAAAAACAAACAUCCCCAAACCCGAAUGUUACUGCCGUCAUGGUAGUUUAACUGCUCAUGACUUUCUUUGAGAUUUCUGUAUCUCAAAGAAAGAUUUCUGUAUCUUUUUGCCAAUUCUAGAUAAAGUGGUGGCAACAUUCAGGUUUGUAGCUGUUUCGCCUAUCGAACUUGGUGACUUGUAGAGGAUCAACAACACACUGACCUUCGUCUGUUCAUUUCUUUUGGUCAGCCCUGCUGUUAUGUAUGUUCAUGUUUUGUUUUUUAUGUAAUAUUUUUGUAACACCGAACUGAGGUUGAGAAAUAAAAUGAAAUGCAUUUAACUUUCAAAUAUCAUUCUCAUUUAUCAUCAUUUAGCUAAAUAAACAAUAUUUUAAGUACAGUAAUACACUGGCAACAGAUAUUCAGUAGAGGUAGGUUCUACAGCACUGUUAUAAUUAAUACAGUAACAUUAACAUAUACAAUACUGUACUGUAUUCAAUUUCACAGCAGCAUUAAAAAGUACAGUACUGUAUUGUUUUUAA